UAUGGUUUUAUUGUUCGGGUUCUGGGUUCGUUUACGGGUUUUCAUUAUUAUGUUUUGUUAUGUGUAACUUGUAGUUGAGUCAAUCCCAUUCUAGUGGUCGUGCCGGUAGCGGAAUCCGAUCCCGAGGACGUGGGAUCGGAUCAUCUAGAUCACCAUCUGUCCAUCAGGAUCAGGUGGUAGUCGAGCCUCCUCGACUAGAUGUACCUUUCACGGGUGCGGUUUCGCCGCAAUCCGUGAAUGAAGGUACAUCUAGUCACGGUGCAUCGCCAUCGUUGCCGGAGAUUCUAGCGUCUGCAGAACAUUGUCUCCGACCUCGUCUCGAUCCGGAUCACUCCCUCGGUUCUAUUUGGUUUAAUCGUAACAAUGAAGUGAUUACGACUGUCGUCAACAUCUUUCAGUCGGACUUCAAAGGCCCGUGGCGGAGUCUCAUCCGUGUCCCUCCAUAUGAUCUGCAACAUUGGUUCGGGGCUUUUGCGCAAGCUUAUUAUUGGGACGAGGUCAUUCAUGACCAAGUCUACGCCGCUUGGAGGCUCGUCGUCCGAGAUCCCCUCAAGGACAUCAUUUAUCGGGUAAAGUGCAGACGCGUAAAACCUCCGUGGAUGUCGACGGCUAUCUACGAUCAGCUCGUCGCACAUUGGGAUUCAGAAGAAGGAACGUAGAAGAGUCAAAUCUUCUCAAGCAAUCGACGAUCCCGAGCGGAGAUCGAACACGCAACCCCGACCCACACUGCAGGACAGAGAUCAUUUGCCCGAGUCGCCCAUGAGAUAGCAAGUAAAAAAAAUUUAAUUUUAAAUUUGUUCAGUUUUUUUUAAUUAAAUUUUUUGGUUGUAGACGCAGAAGGAAGGUGAAGAACCUUCUGCGUUGCGAUUGCUGCAGGAGACUCACCGUCGAGUUGACGGUACUUAUAUCAGCGAUCGCGUUUAGGAAAUCGAGGAUGCGAUUCAGGCAAAGAUCACCGAUCGUCUCUCCCAGUUAGAGGAGAGUUGUGGAUCGACCCAACUUUCGCCAGCAGAAAUCAACAGUCUCUAUCUAGAGGUUGUCCAACCGGAUGCCAAAGGACGUAUCUACGGCGUCGGUGGAAUGGCGACUCAGUUGGAUGGUGGUCAUCCAGAUGCAGCAUCGAUCGGUCGCCACGUCGCACUAACUAAGGAGGUCGAGGCGUUGAAGAAAAAGAUCGAAGAGUUUGAGGAGGAUCGUAGAAAGAUUGCGAGACUAGAAGAAGCUGAGGCACGGAUUGCGCGUUACGAGACGCUUUUCGCCGACUUUUUCCUCCUCUUGACGAUCCACAACCGGCGCAGGAGAUGCAGCAUAACCCAUUUCUGACUCCUCAGUUCGGAGUUAGAUCUGAGCCCGGAGUCGGACCUUCUACGGCACCGACAGACCAAAGAACCGGAUCAGAUAAUUCGA